rnacentral:rRNA from 1 species
CAGUGCUCGUACGCUGAUCAUUUUAAAGACUAAGCCAUGCACGUGUUGGUACGUACAUUACAAAUGUGAGACUGCGGACGGCUCAGUAAAUCAGUUAUAAUCUGCUCGAUUGUAAAGGUUAGUGGAUAACCGUGGGAAAUCUAGAGCUAAUACAUGCAAUAUAGGGGGGUAAAACCGCCAUGGCAUUUAUUAGAUAAUGACCAACCGUGGGCGAAAGCCUACGUGGUGAAUCUAGAUAACUGUGCAGAUCGUAUGGCCCUGAGCUGACGACAUUUCGAUUGAAUUUCUGCCCUAUCAACUUUGGUCGGUAGUGUAGUGGACUACCGAGGUUUUUACGGGUGACGGGGGAUCAGGGUUCGAUUCCGGAGAGGGAGCCUGAGAAACGGCUACCACAUCCAAGGAAGGCAGCAGGCGCGCAAAUUACCCAAUCCAGACAAUGGGAGGUGGUGACGAAAGGUACCGGAUGACGGUCUUUGAUUGUCAAUCUGGAAUGGAACCAAUUCAAGCAAUUGGUUGAGAAACUACUGGAGGGCAAGUCUGGUGCCAGCAGCCGCGGUAAUUCCAGCUCCAGUAGCGUAUAGCAAAGUUGCUGCGCUUAAAACGCUCGUAGUUGGAUCACAAACUGCUCGUCGGUGGGCUAUGAGGUCGCGUCAACUUGGAGAACCAGCUGUACGUCAUCGUGCAGUUGGGGGUUCGAACGGCGAGGCCUUGUACCAAAAGCUGGUGAGCAGUAAUUGCACGUGAGGAUAGGCAUUGACCUUGAGUGAGUUGGUGUUUGUGUCUCACGGAGUGUGCCUUGAGUAAAUCAGAGUGCUUAAAGCAGGCUUUACGCUUGAAUGUUAUUAGCAUGGAACGAACAAUCGUGUAUGGUGUAUGCUGGCAGUGGGGUUGAACGUAGUUUGACCACAUCAGCAUGCGACACCGACCGCCAAUUACGGAUGUUGGUUUCGUAUUGGGGUAUUGAUUAAGAGGAGCGGUUGGGGGCAUUGGUAUUUGAUAGCGAGAGGUGAAAUUCUUGGACCUAUCAACGACCAACAAAUGCGAAGGCAUCUGUCCAGACCGUAUCCAUUAAUCAAGAACGAUAGUGAAAGGUUCGAAGACGAUCAGAUACCGUCGUAGUUUUCACAGUAAACCAUGCCGACUCGGGGUCAGCUUGGAGCUAUGUUCCAUGUUCGGAGUUGGUCCCCCUGGGAAACCUAAAGUUUUUCGGUUGCGGGGGGAGUAUGGUCGCAAGGCUGAAACUUAAAGGAAUUGACGGAAGGGCACCACCAGGGGUGGAGCCUGCGGCUUAAUUUGACUCAACACGGGACAACUUACCUGGUCCGAACAUCCGAAGGAUGCACAGACUGAUAGAUCUUUGUUGAUGGGGUGAAUAGUGGUGCAUGGCCGUUCUUAGUUCGUGGAGUGAUCUGUCAGGCCGAUCCCGGUAACGAACGAGACUACAGUCUCCGCUUGACGAACCAGAGCAGGUACUGGCUUUUUGCGAAUCAGUAUUGAAGGCUACACGGCGAGUUGGUGUGAAAGCAUUGGUGAGCCGUGUUCCCUCUGGUCAGGCAAUGCAGUGUCAUCUGGCGGUGUGUUGUAUCACGGAGAGACAGCGGAAUAUAUUCCAAAAUCCGAGGAAGUGUAGCUAUAACAGGUCCGUGAUGCCCUAAGAUGUUCAGGGCUGCACGCGCGCUACAAUGAUAUUAACAACGAGUUUCUGAAUCGAGAGAUUUGGGCAAUCUUGCAAUUGAUAUCGUGAUGGGGAUUGACGUUUGUAAAUACGUCGUGAAAGAGGAAUCCCUAGUACGUGCGAUUCACUUAGAUCGCGCGGAUUGCGUCCCUGCCCUUUGUACACACCGCCCGUCGCUACUACCGAGUGAAUCGUGUCAUGAUACCUUGGGAGCGGACGUCGCCUGGGCCUCGCGCUUGGAGUGAUGCUGCAAUCAGCGUAAAAUGGUGCAAUUUCCAGGAAGUAAA